GAAACACAAGGCAGCAGCUACUCGCCACCCUAACCUGAAGCAUUUGCUGUUCAGUAUGCUGGUGAUGGUUCAUUUCCGUCUUCUCUUUCCCAGGUGAGAAGCCUGCCUGCCUCAGGAACUUCUUGCUCUCUCAUCCAAGUCACAGAGGUACUCCUGCUGUAUACCUGAGAUAGGUGACUUUCCACCUCAGAACAUCUCCGAUGUUUUCAUGCCCCUAGGUGCCCAUGAUAAGAGCCAAAGUGAUCUCCCAGCACCGCUGAGUGACUCAUUGGAAGAACUGGAAAGGGCCUGGAUGUUGUGACUUCUGCACUAGCUCCUCAAAUCUCUGUUCAGCUCCUUUCUAAAUGAGCUUUGGAGAUCCACCCACCUAAAGAAGGU
rnacentral:lncRNA from 1 species